rnacentral:rRNA from 1 species
AUUGAACGCUGGCGGCAGGCCUAACACAUGCAAGUCGAACGAGUGGCGGACGGGUGAGUAAUGUCUGGGAAACUGCCUGAUGGAUGGGGAUCACUACUGGAAACGGUAGCUAAUACCGCAUACCAUCGGAUGUGCCCAGAUGGGAUUAGCUAGUAGGUGGGGUAACGGCUCACCUACGCGACGAUCCCUAGCUGGUCUGAGAGGAUGACCAGCCACACUGGAACGGAGACACGGUCCAGACUCCUACGGGAGACAGCAGUGGGGAAUAUUGCACAAUGGGAGAAAGCCUGAUGCAGCCAUGCCGCGUGUAUGAAGAAGGCCUGCGGGUUGUAAAGUACUGUCAGCGGGGAGGCGUUACCCGCAGAAGAAGCACCGGCUAACGCCGUGCCAGCAGCCGCGGUAAUU